rnacentral:lncRNA from 1 species
GAGAGAGCCCUUGUAUCAGUGUCACAUCACCUGCUUCAUGUGCACAAACAAACGCACAAACAAACAUACAAACAAACAUACAAACAAACACACAAACACAAACAAACGGAGCCUUAUAAGACAUGUGCCUGAAAUAGAAAUAGAUUUAAUUAAAGCGAGAAAUUAAAUAUAGCUUUAAUAAGGACACGGUUCGUACACACACGCACGUACGGACACACACGCACGCACAAACGCAUACACUCACGCACACACGCUAAGGUAAUGUCGUUUUGUUGGUGUUUGUUUUAUUUUAUGUCAAAAAAUGCAAAUUUAAAACACCAGAUUUAAAUUAAUUGCGUUUUUUUGGUGUUUUUAAAAUUUUUAUGACAAAAAAACGCAGAUUUCAAACAUCGAACCAAAAAUUAAUUGUGUUUUUUUGGUGUUUAUUUUUUAUUUUACGACUAAAAAAACGCAAAUUUAAAACACCAGAUUUAAAUUAAUUGUUUUUUGGUGUUUUUUUUUUUUUUACGACAAAAAAAUCGCAAAUUUCAAACACCGAAUCAAAAUUAAUCACUUUUUUGGUGUUUUUUUAAUUUACGACAAAAAAACGCAAAUUUCAAACACCGAAUCGAAACUAAUUGCGUUUUUUGGUGUUUUUUUUAUGUUUUAGGGAAUAAAAACAAGAAAAAACGGGUGUGGAAAAGUAUAUUCUCAAACGGCAGGCGUGUUUUACAUUUAAUUAUCACAAAAUUCAGGUGUUUUCAGGUUUGCAAUAGUGAAAAGCCAAGAUUUUAAAGAUUUCAGGUGUGUUAAGAGCAGCAGGUGUGUUUGGGUGUGUUAAAAUGGUGUUUUAGUGGUGUUUUGGUGGUGUUUUGGGCAUUAGCAGAUGUGGAAAAGCAAGAUUUUAAAGAUUUCAGGUGUGUUGAGAGCAGCAAGUGUGUUUGGAUGUGUUAAAAUGGUGUUUUAGUGGUGUUUUGGUGGUGUUUUGGGCAUUAGCAGAUGUGGAAAAGCAAGAUUUUAAAGAUUUCAGGUGUGUUGAGAGCAGCAAGUGUGUUUGGAUGUGUUAAAAUGGUGUUUUUGUGGUGUUUUGGUGGUGUUUUGGGCAUUAGCAGAUGUGGAAAAGCAAGAUUUUAAAGAUUUCAGGUGUGUUGAGAGCAGCAAGUGUGUUUGGAUGUGUUAAAAUGGUGUUUUUAUGGUGUUUUUGUGGUGUUUUGGGCAUUAGCAGAUGUGGAAAACCAAGAUUUUAAAGAUUUCAGGUGUGUUAAGAGCAGCAAGUGUGUUUGGGUGUGUUAAAAUGAUGUUUUUAUGGUGUUUUUGUGGUGUUUUGGGCAUUAGCAGAUGUGGAAAACCAAGAUUUUAAAGAUUUCAGGUGUGUUGAGAGCAGCAGGUGUGUUUUUCUGGUGUUUUUCUGGUGUUUGGGGCAUUAGCAGGUGUGGAAAACAGUGUUGGAAGUAUUUCAUAUGUGCAAACCUGCUGUGUUCUAAGACUGUUGUGUGUGUUGUCGCAGGUGUGUGUGUUUGAAGUGUUUCAGGUGUGUUUUAUGGUGUUUUAGAAGGAUUUAAGGUGGUUUACAGGUGUGGAAGGCAAAAUUUUAAGCAUUCAGGUGUUUUGAGGUGUUUUAAAAGGAUUUACAGGUGUGGAAGGCAAGAUUUUAAAGGUUUCAGGUGUGUUCAGGUGUGUUUUGAGGUGAUUAAAAGGAUUUACAGGUGUGGAAGGCAAGAUUUUAAAGGUUUCAGGUGUGUUCAGGUGUGCUUUGAGGUGUUUUUAAAGGUUUACAGGUGUGGAAGGCAAGAUUUUAAAGGUUUCAGGUGUGUUCAGGUGUGUUUUGAGGUGUUUUUAAAGGUUUACAGGUGUGAAAAGCUAAAUUUUAAGGUUUGAGGUGUGUUCAGGUGUGUUUUGAGGUGUUUUUAAAGGAAUUACAGGUGUGUAUGCAAAAUAUUUAAGGUUCAGGUGUGUUUCAGGUGUGGAAAGCAAAGUUUUAAGCAUUCAGGUGUGUUGUGGUACAUUUAAAAGGAUUUACAGGUGUGGAAGGCAAGAUUUUAAAGGUUUCAGGUGUGUUUUGGGGUGUUGCAGGUGUGUUGCAGGUGUGGUGAGAUGGAAAAACUCAUUAUUUCACCUUGGGAGUGUUAGAAG